AUGAGCAGGGUGAGAGGACAAGGACACAGCCGGACCCGACGAGGGGCAAUGCCACCGUGGGAAAGCCGGCGGGGAGCGCGCAGCCGGCUGGGCACGGCUCACGCAGCCCUCCCGCAGCUCCAGCGCCGGCUGAGCCCUUUUCCUGCCGCUGCCCAGCGCCUCCUCCCCUGGCUCCGGCCAGCCCCUGCCUCUGGGCGAGCCAUGGCCUCGGUGUGUGCCUUUUGUUUGCUCUUCCUUUCGGGACCCGGAGCCCGGGGCGGAGGGAGCGGGGCCCCGGCCAGGCGGCAGCUGCGGCGGGGGCGAGCGGGGCGCGAUGCCCGGUGGCCUCUCCGCGGCUCUCUCCGGACACAAGUUGACUCGAGAGUGAUUUUCCUGGUUUGCAACUAUGCCAAGAACGGAUCUAAAGGUACAAAGGGGCCGAUCGGGGGGCCCGAUCCCACUGGAAAAGGAGCGGGCUGGAAAUAGGGACUCAGAUGGCACAAAAUCCUGGGAACUGGCUGGUUUUAGCUGGCUUUAAUGAUCUCGAUUCUGCUGAUUCCAGUGGAGCCGCGGAGCUCUGCUGCUGCUGCUGCUGCUGCGAAGCAUCUGCCCCGAAAUUCCAGCUGCUGGGGAUGGCUCAGCUCACACACUUGUGCUUCAAAACAGGGUUUGCAUCUGAAUAACCAAGGAGUGUCUCGAGCCCCUUUUCAGGCUGCCAGGCGAGGUUUUAAAGCAGGGUUUUUUAAAAAUCUGAAUUACACCCCGGGUUUACAAGGAGUCCUUGAACUUUGGGGCGUUUGUCAGCCCUUCAGCACGUCCUUAAAAUGAUAAUGAGAGCAGUUCGGGUUUUGAUGGGAAGGUGGUGGGGCUUGGGGCUGGAGGAAAUGUGAUUUUGAAGGGAGAGGGUUCGUAUUUUGAAGUAGAAUUUUAAAAGAAACGCGAGGGAAGACAGACGGGUCCUUCCCCGCCCUGUAACAGCGAUGAAACAUGAAUUCAUCCCCCUGGAAUUUCUUGUUUGUGUGCUCCCAUAAUCUCAUUUCUUUGGUGUCUGUAUGAAGCUCGAGAUAGUUGAAUGCCAGGAGCCAAAUUCUCUCGGACUAAUAUCUUUUUAUUAGAUUUGCUGCGUGCGUGUGCGCCCACGUGUGAGAGAGAGAGAUCGCCCUUCAUCGCCCACCUCGUGCCCUCGGCAGGGGGAGAGGAGCUCCCGAGGAAUCCUUCCAGCAGCGUUUCCCAACUCUGACCCCCCAGGGCGGCGAGGUUUGGGACAUAAAACUGGCUUUUGGUGGGGUUUGCAGGUGUCUUGUUGGAUACUGGGCUUUGUGCUGGGGGAUUUCUCGUUGUCACAGCUCCGCCUGGUCGCAGAGGGCUGUGACAGCUUCUGGAAGUGGGGGGCAAAGAGCUCCCACCCCAAAAAUGUCACGGGGAUGGACAAGCUGGGAGCUGGCCCCGGGAUGUUUCAAAAGCGAGCUGCCCUGGCCGUGAACUCCCAGGUUUUAAGGAUUUGAUCAAAGCCCAGUUUUGCUCCAAACCUGGCUUUGAUGAACCCCCGACCUUUGCCCCGUGCAGGGGGGACGAUGCCAGAGAAUCCCCCGAGCCCGCAAAGAGGGGAUUGCGGAGGGGCCAGCGGCUCCCAGCCGUGGUGACGGUCACAGCAACCCUUCCCCAGCCCGGCAGAGCGCCCGGGACUUCCCAGGCUGUGCCGGGGGCUGGGGAAAAGGAAAGAGCGAAGGCUCACUGCCACCUCCAGGCAAAGCCCAGCAUCGGCGCUCGCUCUAAACUGGAGCACAGACAGACAAUCCUGGGAUUUGUCCCAAAUCGCCGCAUUGGCAGUGCCAGACCCCCCAUCAGCUGGUGCGCGCGUGUGCGCGCGGUUCCGCGGCUCCGAAAGCUUUAGUACAAAUAUGUUCAGCCCUUGCUUUAGUCCGCGGGCUUUAAUCCCCCGCACGCAUUUCCAGCCGCGUGGAAAUAGCAGCCCAGUAACUCCCGAGCCGCGGCUGCCGGGGAGAUUGUGUGUGUGAUCCGUGCCGAGGCCACGGGUUCCUGAGGAUCUUAGGGACAGCCGAGCAUCCUGAGCGGCACAUUCCCGGCGGAUCCCAGCGGGCUGGGAGCUCCGGCUGAGGGAUCCAGCUCCAGCUCCUCGGCACGGUCCCCAGAGAGAGGUGGGUGAGGGAGAAGGGCGGCAGGAGAGGGGGAAGAGCGAGAUUGGCGGGGUGGGAAGGAAACUUGGG
rnacentral:lncRNA from 13 species